rnacentral:pre_miRNA from 1 species
AUAUAAGCCACACAGAGAUCUUAUUAAAAUGCAGAUUCUGAUCCCCUAAAUCUGGGAUCGUGGGCUGAGAUUCUGCAUUUCUAACAAGUUCUCAGGUGACAGUGAU